rnacentral:sRNA from 1 species
UGAUCGAAGCCGUCUACAACAUUUUGUA